rnacentral:rRNA from 1 species
UACGGGGGGGGGUAAGCGUUGUUCGGAAUUACUGGGCGUAAAGGGCUCGUAGGCGGCCAACUAAGUCAGACGUGAAAUCCCUCAGCUUAACUGGGGAACUGCGUCUGAUACUGGAUGGCUUGGAUUCGGGAGAGGAAUGCGGAAUUCCAGGUGUAGCGGUGAAAUGCGUAGAUAUCUGGAGGAACACCCGUGGCGAAGGCGGUUCUCUGGGACGGUACUGACGCUGAGACGCGAAAGCGUGGGGAGCGAACAGG